rnacentral:tRNA from 1 species
AGGGGUAUAGCCAAGCGGUAAGGCAUCGCGUUUUGGUCGCGACAUGCGUAGGUUCGAAUCCUGCUACCCCUG